rnacentral:rRNA from 1 species
AGCAGCCGCGGUAAUUCCAGCUCCAAUAGCGUAUAUUAAAGUUGUUGCAGUUAAAAAGCUCGUAGUUGAAUUUCGGGAUUAGUAGGUUGGUCGUGCCUCUGGUAUGUACUCGCCUUACUGGUUUCUCCUUCUUGAAGAACUGUAAUGCCAUUAAUUUGGUGUUGCAGGGACACAGGACUGUUACUUUGAAAAAUUAGAGUGUUUAAAGCAGGCUAACGCUUGAAUACAUUAGCAUGGAAUAAUGAAAUAGGACGAUCGAUCCUAUUUUGUUGGUUUCUAGGAUUGACGUAAUGAUUAAUAGGGAUAGUUGGGGGCAUUAGUAUUCAAUUGUCAGAGGUGAAAUUCUUGGAUUUAUUGAAGACUAACUACUGCGAAAGCAUUUGCCAAGGAUGUUUUCAUUAAUCAAGAACGAAAGUUAGGGGAUCGAAGACGAUCAGAUACCGUCGUAGUCUUAACCAUAAACUAUGCCGACUAGGGAUCGGAUGAUGUUAAUUUUAUAAUGA